GCCUCCGUAGCUCAGUCGGUAGAGCGCACCCUUGGUAAGGGUGAGGUUCAUGGGUUCGAUCCCCAUCGGAGGCU
rnacentral:tRNA from 1 species